GACAGAGGAUGCAAGCGUUAUCCGGAAUGAUUGGGCGUAAAGAGCUCGUAGGCGGUUUGUCGCGUCUGCCGUGAAAGUCCGGGGCUCAACUCCGGAUCUGCGGUGGGUACGGGCAGACUAGAGUGAUGUAGGGGAGACUGGAAUUCCUGGUGUAGCGGUGAAAUGCGCAGAUAUCAGGAGGAACACCAAUGGCGAAAGCACUCUGCUGGGCCGACACUGACACUGAGAGACGAAAGCUAGGGGAGCGAAUGGG
rnacentral:rRNA from 1 species